GAUGAACGCUAGCGGCGGGCCUAAUACAUGCAAGUCGAACGGGAAAGGUGGCAACACCUUGAGAGUGGCGUACGGGUGCGUAACGCGUAUACAACCUGCCUGUUACACGGGGAUAGCCUUGCGAAAGCGAGAUUAAUACCCGAUGGUACUAUUGAGCGGCAUCGCUUGGUAGUUAAAGCUGAGGCGGUAACAGAGGGGUAUGCGUCCCAUUAGCUAGUUGGUAGUGUAACGGACUACCAAGGCGACGAUGGGUAGGGGUUCUGAGAGGAUGAUCCCCCACACUGGUACUGAGAUACGGACCAGACUCCUACGGGAGGCAGCAGUAGGGAAUAGUGGGCAAUGGACGGAAGUCUGACCCAGCCACGCCGCGUGCAGGAAGAAGGUCCUCUGGAUUGUAAACUGCUUUUCUUGGGGAAGAAAACCCUUCUGCGGAAGGAAUUGACGGUACUCAAGGAAUAAGCAUCGGCUAACUCCGUG
rnacentral:rRNA from 1 species